rnacentral:rRNA from 1 species
UACGUAGGCAGCAAGCGUUGUUCGGAGUUACUGGGCGUAAAGGGUGCGUAGGUGGCUCUAUAAGUAUGGUGUGAAAUCUCCCGGCUUAACUGGGAGGGUGCGCCGUAGACUGUGGGGCUAGAGUGUGGGAGAGGAAAGUGGAAUUCCUGGUGUAGCGGUGAAAUGCGUAGAUAUCAGGAGGAACACCGGUGGUGUAAACG